rnacentral:rRNA from 1 species
AAUAGAUACCCUGGUAGUCCACGCCGUAAACGAUGAGUGCUAAGUGUUAGAGGGUUUCCGCCCUUUAGUGCUGCAGCUAACGCAUUAAGCACUCCGCCUGGGGAGUACGGCCGCAAGGCUGAAACUCAAAGGAAUUGACGGGGGCCCGCACAAGCGGUGGAGCAUGUGGUUUAAUUCGAAGCAACGCGAAGAACCUUACCAGGUCUUGACAUCCUCUGCCAACCCUAGAGAUAGGGCGUUCCCCUUCGGGGGACAGAGUGACAGGUGGUGCAUGGUUGUCGUCAGCUCGUGUCGUGAGAUGUUGGGUUAAGUCCCGCAACGAGCGCAACCCUUGAUCUUAGUUGCCAGCAUUCAGUUGGGCACUCUAAGGUGACUGCCGGUGACAAACCGGAGGAAGGUGGGGAUGACGUCAAAUCAUCAUGCCCCUUAUGACCUGGGCUACACACGUGCUACAAUGGAUAGUACAAAGAGCUGCGAACCCGCGAGGGUAAGCGAAUCUCAUAAAGCCAUUCUCAGUUCGGAUUGU